AAGUAUUAUUACUCUUUUGGAAUUUGUCUAACAUUUUUUUUUGUUUUCUAUGAAAAACACCC
rnacentral:snRNA from 1 species